ACAGAGCAGGCUGGGGCAGCCACGGCAGCCUGGCCCGACACUCACCCAGGCUCCAGUCCCCGAGGUGCUUGGCCUUUAUCCCGUGGGCUACAGCUGACCUCCCCCUCCCCUGACCUCACAGCUCUGCUCUGCCCCUCAGGAGGCCUCAUCCUCUGCCGCGGGCCUCCUCCCGCCCCCCCCCCAGCUCUACAUCCUGAGAUGCGGUCGCCAACCUGGGGGGCUGCAGACCCCUUGAUACUAGCCUGUCGCUGCCUCCCACUGCUCCCGCCCUGGGCCUCCUGGCUUCCGCUCUCCCUCCGUUCCCUGCUAGGCCUGUAGACACCAGACGUGCAAGUCCCCACCGCUCUGAGUCCUGCAGCGGCUCCCUUCCCUUGUCACCCCCACCCUCGCCCUGGCCUGCCUGCCGUACUCCCUGCUUCCACCGCCCUCCUUCUGCCUGGACAGAUGCCAGCAGUAGGGUCCCCACUGUCCUGCUGCUGCCCCUCGCCCGUCCUCCACUCAGCGGCCGGAAGGAUCGAUCAGAUCACAUGCUUUUUCUUCUGGACAGGUGGGAACUCUGCCCGCUACCCCGAGGCCAACCUUGAAGCCCUCACUUAGGUUUCACUCCGGCCCCUCCCUCCUGCUGCCCCCUGGGCUGGGCACUGACCUGGUCGCCCCUCUCUCUCAGUAGCCACUCUCCGAGGGCUUCCCCAGGAAAGCAUCCCUCAGCUCCUGGCAGCCAGGAUGGCUCACCGGGCAGAGGUGCGGUAGAGAGAGGGCUCGGGGCUGCAGGGGCGGCCGGCCACGUUCACGGCGUCUUGUACCUCGGCGAAGUCCCGGCCCAGGUUGGAGCCCCAGAUGGGCCCUCCUCCCAGAAUGGGUGCCUUUGUUCCGUGCCCCCGGCUCCCACCAGACCGCAAGCCCGGGGCGGAGGCCGUGGGUGCCGUGUUCCUGCCGCGUGCCCAGCGCCCGCACCGAGCCUGCCUCGAGGGACGGUGAGACCCUGACGGCUCGGAACACUGUGAGGUGUGGGGCGCAUCUGAGGGCGGCAGGUGAGGCUG